rnacentral:lncRNA from 10 species
AUGUCUUCCAAGGGAACAGAAAAGAAGGCUGUCCUGAGGUUGUCAGUCUGGCCUGACUCAGCACAGCUUGAGCCAGGAUAUUUGGGGUGGUUCUCUUCAAUUAGCUGGAUUCUGUUUUCAUUUCGACGUUAGGAGCGGAAGUUGCUGGGACAGAUUCUGGAAAUGGAGCCAGGGCUAUUUCUGUAUAAGGAGCCAGGAGCAUGGAAAGUUUAAGCAAGUUGCGCAAGGUCAUGGAGCUGAUGAGAGAGAGCUGGGAUUUGAAUUAAGGCAUGGUCUGUUUCCAUACUCCCUGCUCUCUAUCACUAAUUCCCCAUAACUCUAGAAAAUGAAACAGCUACAGAAGAAACAGAUGUCUGAGCUUGAGGACACCAAUUUCACAUUAUAGGAUCAGGGCUGUACAUGAGGUUUCCAGCUGCAAAUAAGCAUUAUCUGGUCCUGGCAGAUGGUAGAUGCACCUGACAACAAUAACUUAACCAUACCCUGAGAAUGACCCUGGAUGGCAGAUGUACCUGACAGCAGUGGCGUGGUUUGAGAAAUGAGAGUUGCACAAAGAGGUUUCUGUGGGGAGGGUGCCAAAUGAAGGUACUAUAUAAGCUGCAUGCUUUUUUUUUUUUUUUUUUUGAGACAGAGUCUCGCUCUGUUACCCAGGCUGGACUGCAAUGAUGUGAUCUCGGCUCACUGCAACCUCUGCCUCCCGGGUUCAAGUGGUUCUCUCACCUCUGCCUCCUGAGUAGCUGGGACUGCAGGCACAUGCCACCAUGCCUGGCUAAUUUUUGUAUCUUUAGUAGAGAUGGGGUUUCACCAUAUUGGCCAGGCUGGUCUUGAACUCCUGACCUCAAGUGAUCCACCCGCCUCGGCCUUCCAAAGUGCUGGGAUUACAGGCGUGAGCCACCAUGCCUGGCCAAGCUGCAUGCUUUUUGCAAGCAAUUGUAGUUCUUCUGUCUAGCCCACAGUCACUGGACUGUCCCUGUAUGUAAGUUCCCCUAAAUAAAACCCUAUGUCUCUUUUGCUGGCUUUGGGUCUCUUCUUCAGCCUCUUAAACCUGGUGCCAUCACUAUUGGAGUGAACAGGGGUCUAGCACAACAGUGGGGACCCA